UAAAAUCGCUAUGAUAUAAAAGAAAAGCUUUUUAUAUAAUAAUAUCAGUUAAAUUACAAUGGAAUUGGAGUACACACUUGCAAAAGUUGGACCCAAAAAAAAAAAAAGGACAUUAAACCUCCACGAAUUUCCACUAUUCUAACUGAAAUCUGCAUUAACCCAGAGUAAAUGGAAUACAAAAUACAAACACCUCACAGCAUCAAAAAUCCAACUAAAUUCUAAGGGUAUGUAUGACCCUCCAGGAGUUCCAUCUAUGGCCAGACACAGGAAUAAACAUUACAUUGCAGCCCUAAAUCAGUGAUUUGAAAAUCAUUCCAAUUCUGGUAAAAAGUCUGGUAGGCAGAACUCUGUUCUUGAAUUUAUUUUUUUA
rnacentral:misc_RNA from 1 species